UUUCCCUCAGAGCGCGCAGGCAGCCGGUUUAGAGAACUCCGGUGCGCCAGGUUUUUGGAGCCGCCGGGGAGCGCAGGGAGGGAGAGGAGCGCGACACCAGACAGCACGGGGUUCAGCACCGGGAUUGGUCGCAAGUAGGGAGCUUUCGCCACUACACCGGGACCCUCGGACAGUGCCUGCACCGCGCUCUGGAGAGGCUUUCCUCCGCUCUCGGCGCGGAGCUCAGGUGCUGAGCACAGAGGAGAUCUGCGCGGAGGCAGGCGGCUUGGAGCAACCAGGAAGAGAAGGUGUUAGAUUGCUGGCACCGCUGUCUCCAGAUUUGAAGCAAAAAGGCUUGAGGUUGUGUAGGGCGACCGAAUGUGACCCAUCACCUUGGAUGUGUGUUCUGCGUGCAAGAGGUUGGCUGGGAUCUUGGGGUACAUGGGUGGUGGAUUUGUAAGGAGGAGUCCCCGUGAGCAAAGCUCCUGCAACUUUUUGUAGUUUUCCUACUGGAAUCAACAUAGGGGCGGGGACAUGUUUUUCAGGGAAAAAAAAUGUCAUUUAAUUGCAUGGGAAGCUCCUGCAGUCUGCUGUGUUGGGAGCUGGGAAUCUCAAGGAAUAACAGCCACAUGACUCAUUUGUCUGGACACUACUUAGGAUAAUUUGGAAUGUGCUUUUAUUUUUGCAGAUUUGAGAUUUAUGGUUUCUGUUCUUCAGGGAGUAUAAGGUAGGAGCUUAGAGACUGGAUUUCCCCCUUUAAAUAGGUCCAGGUAGCAGCAUUUCAAGUAGAACUGAUUAGCAACUCUUUGUCUGUACCCAGGUGGGCGAAAAAGAAGUGUGUCAUGGAGCAGGCAGCUAGAGGUGGUUUGGGUGCCAUUCUGGAGAAGAUUCACCUUUCACCCCAUACAUUUAUUCUUGCUGUCUUCUCGUUGAUUUCAUUCAAGACUGUGGAAAUCUCCGCUAUGGGGUUGUGGGAGUUAGAUAAGAUUGGCAGGGAUCAAAAAAAAAAAAAAAAAAAACAAGUUCUGUGAGAAUAUUACUUUUUUGUCUAUCUUGUAAAAAAGGCUAUUGAUUUUGUUCGUUGUUUGUUUAAACUGACUUCACCUGCCCUGUCUGGUUGAGGAAAGAUCAUGAUGAUAAAUCUCAUUAUUUUUUUUUUUUCACUGUGGAUCCUGCCAGUUGGCUAGCAAGCAUGGAAAAUAAAUAAUAAAUAAAAACUGACCUCUUGAAUUGGGGGUUAAAAUGCUAAGAGACUUUACCAGUUGCUUAAAGCUUUAGGUGAGAGCCAUGUGGACGUUUUAACUGAGGUAAUUUUUUUUUUUUUUUAAAUUGCAGUCUGUGAAACCCCUUUCAGUUGGUGCCUGGUGUGUGUAUUUUACACACCUUGGAAGACCUCCGGUGCAAUU
rnacentral:lncRNA from 1 species